rnacentral:rRNA from 1 species
UGGGGAAUAUUGCGCAUUGGGGGGAACCCUGACGCAGCCAUGCCGCGUGAAUGAAGAAGGCCUUCGGGUUGUAAAGUUCUUUCGGUAUUGAGGAAGGUUGAUGUGUUAAUAGCACAUCAAAUUGACGUUAAAUACAGAAGAAGCACCGGCUAACUCCGUGCCAGCAGCCGCGGUAAUACGGAGGGUGCGAGCGUUAAUCGGAAUAACUGGGCGUAAAGGGCACGCAGGCGGUUAUUUAAGUGAGGUGUGAAAGCCCCGGGCUUAACCUGGGAAUUGCAUUUCAGACUGGGUAACUAGAGUACUUUAGGGAGGGGUAGAAUUCCACGUGUAGCGGUGAAAUGCGUAGAGAUGUGGAGGAAUACCGAAGGCGAAGGCAGCCCCUUGGGAAUGUACUGACGCUCAUGUGCGAAAGCGUGGGGAGCAAACAGGAUUAGAUACCCUGGUAGUCCACGCUGUAAACGCUGUCGAUUUGGGGGUUGGGGUUUAACUCUGGCGCCCGUAGCUAACGUGAUAAAUCGACCGCCUGGGGAGUACGGCCGCAAGGUUA